UGGAGGCAACCAUGUAAGGAAAUCAGAGCAGUAGGGUUAAUGCCCAUCUUUUUUUUAACCCCUGCAAAGAAAGGGAUAAGACAAAUAUUGUUUUGAUCACAAUAAUAAUGAAAGAGGGCAUUGUGUUCUGUUUUUUUUUUAAGGGUUUUAUUGGGGUUUUUUUGUAGCCACUUCUUCAAUCGAUUUCUGCCAAAGAAAAAUUCUAAAGGCUUUUUGAAAAGCCUUGAAAGGG
rnacentral:lncRNA from 1 species